GCCUGGGUGGCUCAGUCGGUUGAGCGUCUAACUUUGGCUCAGGUCACGAUCUCACGGUUUGUGAGUUCGAGCCCCACAUCGGGCU
rnacentral:tRNA from 1 species